rnacentral:rRNA from 1 species
GACGAACGCUGGCGGCGUGCUUAACACAUGCAAGUCGAACGAUGAAGCCGGAGCUUGCUCUGGUGAAUUAGUGGCGAACGGGUGAGUAACACGUGAGUAACCUGCCCUUGACUCUGGGAUAACUGCGGGAAACUGUAGCUAAUACCGGAUACGACCCUCGGAGGCAUCUCCUGGGGGAGGAAAGAAUUUCGGUGAAGGAUGGACGCGCGGCCUAUCAGCUAGUUGGUGAAGUAAAGGCUCACCAAGGCGACGACGGGUAGCCGGCCAGAGAGGGUGACCGGCCACACUGGGACUGAGACACGGCCCAGACUCCUACGGGAGGCAGCAGUGGGGAAUAUUGCACAAUGGGCGCAAGCCUGAUGCAGCAACGCCGCGUGAGGGAUGGCGGCCUUCGGGUUGUAAACCUCUUUUAGCAGGGAAGAAGCGAAAGUGACGGUACCUGCAGAAAAAGCACCGGCUAACUACGUGCCAGCCGCCGCCGUAA